rnacentral:lncRNA from 1 species
CCUUGUUUUCUCCAUAUUGCAGUGAAUAGAAGUCUUCAAAUGAGCCAAAUAUGAAACCAUAUAAUUUUACCUGGUGCUUGCCCAAAGAACAAAUAAAAGCAGCCCACUUAACAAGUCUCUAAUGGGAGAGAAGCUGUAGUGGCCCAAAAGAAUAAGGAACAAAUUUUCACCUUGAAGGACACAAGUUGGAAAAUUGUAAGACCCAUAAUAAAAUAUCAAGCCCAUAUUUUUUAGAGAAGAUCCAUCAAAUGAGUUAGCUGACCCGCCCCAAAUGUAAUGUGUUGAUACAUUUGGACGGCAGGAAAGGCCAGCAAAGGUACCACUUAUUCUGCCAAAAAGCCUAUUACAUAGCCAGCAAAAAUCUGCAAAAGACUAAAAUUGACAACCCACCCACUUGAAAAACACGCCAAUGCCAGUCUUUCACCCAUCACCAAUUAAUAUGGAUGUAAUUACAUCAAUGUACCGGUGGUCAUUGUGGUGUUGCGGGAUAUCAUUAGCACCGAUGGAUGCCUCAACGGCCUUCGUCGAAGUUGGGAAAAUGUCAUGCAUUAUUGUAGCCAUAGAGAAGAUUUCUGAGUUGAACAUUCUGUCAAACACGUGAUGUGCAACUUUAUAGUUGUGGGAAUUUCUUUGCAAGAAGCACUUCUCAACAGAAAAACGGUGGAAAAAUAGUGUUGCCACGUUAGUUUAUGAGAAAGUUGAACGAGGAUGGCUUGUUUUACUCUUUUAGGCCAAGAGCCACUUACCAAUCUGCAUAAGCUUCUAUAGAAAAAUGUAAACUCCUUUCAAUAUGGCUGUAGAAAAUUCCCCAGUUGCCAUAAGACUUUGAUCUUCUAUUGCUUUUCUUUCUUGCAAUUAAUUUGGACUUGAAAUUCCUUUCUUUUUGGAGAAGGGCUUUGUUGACAGAGGCUCCACUUGUUUAGUUCAGAUGAGAAGGGAGCUAAAGUAAUUGAUUUAAGGAUAAAUCCUUUGAAAUUUUCUUUGUAUAGGGAAGUAAAAGUAGAUUAUCGAUUCCAACAAGGUUUUUCUAUUUCCGUUUCAAAGCAUAUGAAGAUGGAACCUUAGGUGGACGCUGAUUUUCUCUUCUUAAUAACCGUUGCGAUGGGUUCUUUUUUCAACUUGGGCACUAGAAACUCUUCCAAGAAAAAUUUGCCUUCGAUUUUGCAAAUUAUUUCCUCCCUUUCAUUAGCUAUGUUUUGUGCCAGAAAUAACCAUCGAGUUUUUUGUUUCAACCCUCUUCCAAUUACUACCUUUUCUUCUUCAUUCUUGUUGCAGUCUUUGCCCCUUUUUUGGUAGAGAAC